rnacentral:rRNA from 1 species
AUUGAACGCUGGCGGCAUGCCUUACACAUGCAAGUCGAACGGUAACGGGCCUUCGGGUGCCGACGAGUGGCGAACGGGUGCGUAAUGUAUCGGAACGUACCUUUCAGUGGGGGAUAACGUAGCGAAAGUUACGCUAAUACAGCAUAUUCUGUGCGCAGGAAAGCAGGGGAUCGCAAGACCUUGCGCUGAUUGAGCGGCCGAUAUCAGAUUAGCUAGUUGGUGAGGUAAAGGCUCACCAAGGAGACGAUCUGUCGCGGGUCUGAGAGGAUGAUCCGCCACACUGGAACUGAGACACGGUCCAGACUCCUACGGGGGGCAGCAGUGUGGAAUUUUGGACAAUGGGGGCAACCCUGAUCCAGCCAUGCAGCGUGAGUGAAGAAGGCCUUCGGGUUGUAAAGCUCUUUCGGCCGGGAAGAAAUCGCAUGGGCUAAUACCCUGUGCGGAUGACGGUACCGGCAUAAGAAGCACCGGCUAACUACGUGCCAGCCGCCGCAGUAAGAC